UACAGAUGUAUUCACGGAGGAUGACUGU
rnacentral:piRNA from 1 species